GAAAGUAAAUUCUUAUUUUAUUUAUUAGUUUAUAUUAUUAAAUAGAAACAACUUAGUUUUUAGUAUAUUUUAUUGAAAUAAUUAUUUAGUGUUAUAGUUAAAAGUACUGUGAAGGAUGGAUAUUUUUUAUUUAAAAGUAAUUUUAAUUUAAUGUACCUUUUGUAUCAGGGCUUAUCAAUUUAUUAUAUUUAUUAUAGGUUUCCCGAAAUUAGAAGAGACAUGAUUGAAUGUUAGUUAAUGUGUCAUAAUUAUUGAUAAUUUAAUUAUUGUAAUGAAAUGUUAUUCGUUUCUAAAUAUCUGGUUUUCUUGGAAUUAAAUUUAAUUUAGGAUUUUCUUAUUUAAGGGAUAAUUUUAUUUUCUUUAUUUAUGAAUUUCUAAAAAUCUUGGGGAUAAGCUCGAGAUUAAUUAUAUAAGAGUAUAAUUAAUUGAGAUUUUGUAGGCUUGAGAUCAGCCAUCAUUCAUUUCGUUAUAGAGUACUCUUUAAUUGUAUUAAUUUAAUUUUCUUUAUUUUUUUACUUGAAUAAUUUAAUUAAUUAGGUAUUUUUUGUAAUAAUGAUUAGAUUAGUAUAAAUAGUGAAUUAAGUCAUAGGAACUCGGCAAAUUUAGUGUUCGCCUGUUUAACAAAAACAUGUCCUUUUGUAUUUUUAUUUAAGGUCUAGCCUGCCCAAUGAGGAAUUGAAUGGCCGCAGUAUCCUAACUGUGCUAAGGUAGCAUAAUCAUUUGUCUUUUAAUUGAAGGCUUGGAUGAAAGGUUGGACGAGAUAUUAGCUUUCUUUGAUUUAAUUUGUAGAAUUUAAUUUUUGAGUUAAAAAGCUUAAAUUUAUUUGUUGGACGAGAAGACCCUAUAGAUCUUUAUAGCUUAAAAUUUUAUUAAUUUGGUGAUUGUAUUUAUUUAGAAUGGAAGGUUAUUUUGUUGGGGUGACUGUAGAAUAUAAUUAACUUCUAUUUUUUUUGUUCAUUAAUUAGUGUUUUUUUGAUCCAUAAUUUAUGAUUAAAAGAUUAAGUUACCUUAGGGAUAACAGCGUAAUUUUUUCGGAGAGUUCAUAUUGAUGAAGAAGUUUGCGACCUCGAUGUUGGAUUAAAAUAAGUUAUAGGUGCAGAAGCCUAUGUACUGGGUCUGUUCGACCCUUAAUUUUUUACAUGAUCUGAGUUCAGACCGGCGUAAGCCAGGUCAGUUUCUAUCCUCAAUUGUUAAUUUACAUUUUAGUACGAAAGGACCGAAUGUAAGGAAUAUUUCUUAUAUUUUUGAUUAAUAUU
rnacentral:rRNA from 1 species